rnacentral:rRNA from 1 species
AUUGAACGCUGGCGGCAGGCUUAACACAUGCAAGUCGAGCGGGGGAAGGUAGCUUGCUACCGGACCUAGCGGCGGACGGGUGAGUAAUGCUAGGAAUCUGCCUAUUAGUGGGGGACAACAUCUCGAAAGGGAUGCUAAUACCGCAUACGUCCUACGGGAGAAAGCAGGGGAUCUUCGGACCUUGCGCUAAUAGAUGAGCCUAAGUCGGAUUAGCUAGUUGGUGGGGUAAAGGCCUACCAAGGCGACGAGCUGUAGCGGGUCUGAGAGGAUGAUCCGCCACACUGGGACUGAGACACGGCCCAGACUCCUACGGGAGGCAGCAGUGGGGAAUAUUGGACAAUGGGGGGAACCCUGAUCCAGCCAUGCCGCGUGUGUGAAGAAGGCCUUAUGGUUGUAAAGCACUUUAAGCGAGGAGGAGGCUACUCUAGUUAAUACCUAGGGAUAGUGGACGUUACUCGCAGAAUAAGCACCGGCUAACUCUGUGCCAGCAGCCGCCGUAA